rnacentral:lncRNA from 10 species
GAGCUUGCUGUCUGCUGAGGCACCUGCCAGGAAUCGCCCUUGGACUCCAGGAACACCUCACCCAAGGUCACGCCCCACCUCCAGUGGGCUGGCCUGUGGCUGCUGACUCCUGAUGCCCUUGGGACUACUCUGCAGGAUCACCAUGUUCAGCUCUCCUUGUAGGACCAGCGGCGGCCUCACUUACUAUGGCACAGUGGGCCGGCUUCUCCGCUGCCCACUCCCGCCUGGUCAUUCCGUGCAGGGGCAUCUCCUGACUGCUCUUCGCAACAAACCUUGCAAUUUUCUGUCUUGAAUCUGUUUCCUGU